rnacentral:rRNA from 1 species
AGUGAACGCUGGCGGUAGGCCUAACACAUGCAAGUCGAACGGCAGCACAGGAGAGCUUGCUCUCUGGGUGGCGAGUGGCGGACGGGUGAGGAAUACAUCGGAAUCUACUCUGUCGUGGGGGAUAACGUAGGGAAACUUACGCUAAUACAGCAUACGACCUACGGGGGAAAGCAGGGGACCUUCGGGCCUUGCGCGAUUGAAUGAGCCGAUGUGGGAUUAGCUAGUUGGCGGGGUAAAGGCCCAACAAGGCGACGAUCCGUAGCUGGUCUGAGAGGAUGAUCAGCCACACUGGAACUGAGACACGGUCCAGACUCCUACGGGAGGCAGCAGUGGGGAAUAUUGGACAAUGGGCGCAAGCCUGAUCCAGCCAUACCGCGUGGGUGAAGAAGGCCUUCGGGUUGUAAAGCCCUUUUGUUGGGAAAGAAAUCCAGCUGGUUAAUACCCGGUUGGGAUGACGGUACCCAAAGAAUAAGCACCGGCUAACUUCGUGCCAGCCGCCGCCGUAA